rnacentral:rRNA from 1 species
CCCUUAGAUGUUCUGGGCUGCACGCGCGCUACACUGAUACUUUCAGCGAGUCCACCACCUUGCCUGGGAGGGUGGGGUAACCUCUGGAAAGUGCAUCGUGAUGGGGAUCGAUUAUUGUAAUUAUUAAUCUUCAACGAGGAAUUCCUAGUAAGCAUGUGUCAUCAGCCCGUGCUGAUUACGUCCCUGCCCUUUGUACACACCGCCCGUCGCUCCUACCGAUCGAGUGUUCAGGUGAACCUUCUGGACUGAGCCGCAAGGCCCCCGGGAAGUUAGGUAAAUCUUAACACUUAGAGGAAGGAGAANUCGUANCA